AGCAGUUCGAGCAUUUUCUUUGGUGGAAUUUCAAGCAGCUGCCGAUGUCGUCAUCACCAGUUUCAAUGGUGCCGAGAUGGAGCUCAUGCUAUUCUCCCAAAAUCAGAAGCUGAAGUGAACGAAGAUAACAGAUAGCGCGCCACGGAAUGAUAGCUGAGGUUCAUUAGCCAUUAACAAUCUCGUUACAGAACAGCAGCAACAAUGAGUUUAUGCAUGGCCCGAGUUUGGAGACUACACAGAAGUCGAGAAUGGAUUGGCAAAGUAGCUGGUGAAGAGAGAUCUGUGAAUGCAAAAGAGAGACUGUUCUUGGACUCGGUACUGGCAUGGAUUUGUAAGAAGCCGGUGCUGGAUUAUGUUGGAUUCUCGAACUCAUGGCAGUGGUAGAGCUGUUGCUGCCAGUCGAGAAACUACAGCCAAUGGUGUUUGCUGAUGCCUCAGUCCAUAAUGGAAGAAGUGGAUGGAUGGAAUGUUGAGAAGUCUUGGACAUAGAUGGAGAAGAAUGUGGUGAUAGUCGGUGUUAAGCUGUCGCAGCCGACUGACGUGUAUUAAUUGGAGUUGUUUUGGGGGUUCUCUUCUUAAGUUUUGAAUUUGAAUACUAUUUCUCAACUGAGAAAUGAUUGGCAGCAACAACGAAUGAAAUUAAGAUUGUUGAUGGUCAUAUGGACUUGAAGCUGGUGAUUAUUUGCCAUGGAGUUGAUAUUGUGUCCGGAUUUGGCAGCUGGAGUUUAUGCAGACAUGAAUGGUGAUACAGGCAACAUGGAUUUGGUUGAGCUUCUGUACCAAAGUGGGUGACCGAGAUUGAAAAGGAUCAGCUUGAUAUAUGUUGUUGAUUCUUGUCACGUGUUGUGAUCAAGUUCAUGAUGGAGGAAUUAGAUGGUUGAAACAAUGGUUGAUAUAUAGAAUGGAUUUGCAUGGGCUGUGUGAUCGAUUAGAAGGUGGUGCAGAUAGCUAGCUAUGGGUUACUUUCGAAUGAAUCAAUGGUGUUGGCUGUACUGGUUGUGGGGUUUUGUAGUGGACGAGAGAAGAAGGCAGCAAAGAGCCUCAAUUUGGUUGCUCCCCGGAGGAGGAAGACAGAAGACGGAGUAGCUUCAAUGCUCCAUGCAACUGCAAAGAAUUAGAAGUCGUGUUUACUGUUAACUCGGUUAAGCUAUAGCCGAGUCGGAGGAGGAUGAUUGAUGAGCUGUGCGAUCGUGGGCUUUGGUAAUGGUUUGAAUUAGGGGAACUAGGAAUUACUGGCUAGUUCAGAAAUGAGGGAACCGGUUACUGGCUAGUCCACUCCCAGAAUUGAUUUAUCCGCUGGUCCAAAAACAUGUUUUUGGACCAGAAACUUUAUCCCCUAGUCCAUCCACGUGCGGUUGACACAAGACCAGCUUUCAAAUAUUCCCAACAUACCCUUCUGCAACUCAAAGUGACGAACAUAAAACCAAGUCAGUUUCUUUCCUCUUUUUUUCUUCUCAGAUCGGUUUCUCUCACUUUGCGUUUUGGAUAGAAUCAAUUUCUGGUACUGUUUUUCAAUCAUCUUCAUCUGACCUUCGAAGUAGGUUCUUCUGAGUUUCGAAUUAGGUCAUCUGAGCUUCGAACCAAGGUAUUAGCUUCGAAUUAGGUUUAUCUCAGAUUCGAACAAGGGUUAACAUGUCUGACGUUGCUCCC